UGAGGAAUAUUGGUCAAUGGGCGCAAGCCUGAACCAGCCAUCCCGCGUGCAGGAAGACGGCGCUAUGCGUUGUAAACUGCUUUUCCAGGGGGAGAAACUUGCGCACGUGUUGCGCAAUUGACGGUACCCUGGGAAUAAGCAUCGGCUAACUCCGUGCCAGCAGCCGCGGUAAUACGGAGGAUGCGAGCGUUAUCCGGAUUCAUUGGGUUUAAAGGGUGCGUAGGCGGACUAUUAAGUCAGUGGUGAAAUCCUGCAGCUUAACUGCAGAACUGCCAUUGAUACUGAUAGCCUUGAGUUUGGUUAAGGUAGGCGGAAUGUGUAAUGUAGCGGUGAAAUGCUUAGAUAUUACACAGAACACCAAUUGCGUAGGCAGCUUACUGGCCUGCACCUGACGCUGAAGAGCGAAAGCUAGGGGAGCGAACGG
rnacentral:rRNA from 1 species